rnacentral:sRNA from 1 species
GGGGGUGUAUUUCAUUCAGUGACGUAGUUUGAGAGGGGGCGUAAUAGCUUACAGUUUCUGUGCGUCCUUCACAGGUGUCCAGUUAUUGGGAUCCCCAUUAGGAAUUACCUCAUUAAACCUGUGAAGUGUUGGCCUAGUCUUGGCUAUCAGCCCUACUUUUAUUUCUGUUCUAUGCAUGCAUUUUAUAGCCAUUUUAUGAACUGUUUAUGACCAUUGGGGUUUAUUAUUCCCUUUGCUUCCUUUUUUGUUUUGUAAUUUAAAUGAACAAUAUUAUAUUUUGUUCAUAGCAAAUAAUGUUUUAAAUCAUGGGUAUUUGAUGAUGUCGUGUACUUUUAAGGCAUUUAUUUGAUUUUUUACAACACUCUGAAAUGCAUUAUUUCUCAUGUCUGUUAUUUUCAGAGCUGGCUAUAUUAUCAACAUCUUUUUAUGCAUGUAUUUUCUUCAUACAAGACAGAAUUUUAUCAAUGAUAUGUUGAUAAUUGAAUUUGUAUAAUUUAUAUUACUUCGUUUUAAUUUAUUUCGUAUAUACAGAUAUUUUUCCUUUAUAUAACUGUUAUUUUACUAGUCACAUACCUUAUCUUGUAGAAAAAUCUGUGAUGGGAAAGAUUAUUAUAAAAUGAGCAAGGCAAUGUUGUAACAUGUAAGGUCAAGGACAUACCGAUUGAAGUUAAUCUAUAAGGUCAAGGUCAUUCAUUUAAACCUUGAUCUUACAAGAGUUACAAGGCUUAAAAAAAACAGAUUUCAUCAAACUUUUAUGAAAUAUUUUAACAAAGUAAAGUUUGAUGUACCCAUUUAAUUCUCUAUUGAUAUUUUGCGGGUUCUAUCCAUUUUCAAUAUAUUUUGUUUAAUGUGUUACAGAAGUAUUACAGAGAAAUAAUUAUUAUUCUCAGAGACUGUGUUAUAUUUACUGUACUAGAAUAUAUCAUCAACACGUACUUGUGGUCAAAGUUAGAGAGACUAAGAUUUAGUCAGUGUUACAUGUGUUCUGUUGUCAUGGUAGCGGUCUUCAAUGUAUUUGUUGUUAUUUAGUUUAUUAACUCUCAGAAGAAACAAGUUUGACAGAUUAUUUUUAUAUAAGACAGGAGCAUCUUCCCUGAUUUGAUGAGGCUGUAGGCAAUCACUGAGUGUAGCUGUUUAGCCUCAGUUAUACAUGUAUUGUGUUAACCCCUUGUGUAGGAAUAUAUGUCAUUACUGUCUAUUAUGCUCCUAAACUUAGUUCAUUUCUCUGUAUUUCUUUGUUCUGUAUACAGUUUAUACACAGGUACAGUGUGCAAUGGACUGUAAUAAGUCUUGUUCAUAUAGGUGUACCAUGAACUGUCCUUAAACUUUUCUGUACAUAUAGUAAUAAAUUGUCUUCAGAUUUACAUACAUACAGAAUGUACCAUAUGUACGGACCGCUCUUGCACUUCUGUGUACAUUGUGCAAUCUUUUAUACAGUAACAUUUUACAAUGGACGACUUGGCAAUCUUUGGUUUGGGACAUUAACCACAUCAUGCUUUCUACUGUGGAGUUGUUUAACACUGUGGAGAUUUCUCACACAAGAAACAGUUACCUUAUUCUGUUCACCGGGCUCCAAUCUCUCCUACUGCCAUGUUGUACAGAAAUCUUGUAUACGUCUCACACAGUCUGUUCUUGUGUGCCAGUAUGGGACCUUUCAGAACAGAUCUUAAUUUAUUGUUUAGUUAUAUGUAUCUCAUGUUAAUUUUUUUGUUACUUGUAUCAUUGUAUUGUUUCCUGCAAUCCAUCUGGAUUGUGGGAUCUUGUUGCCAAAGUAGAGCUGUGGGCCUGUGGUUCACUAGAGCUGUGGGCCUGUGGUUCACUAGAGCUCUGGGCCUGUGGUUCACUAGAGAUCUGGCCUGUGGUUCACUAUAGCUGUGGGUCUGUUAUUCAAUAGAGCUCUGAGCCUGUGGUUCACUAGAGAUCUGGUCCUGUGAUUCAAUAGAGAUCUGAGCCUGUGGUUCACUAGAGCUCUGGGCCUGUGGUUCAAUAGAGCUGUGGGCCUAUGGUUCACUAGAGCUGUGGGCCUAUGGUUCACUAGAGCUGUGAGCCUGUGAUUCACUAGGGCUCUGGUUCUGUCUCCUGCUACCAUUCCAUUCAGUGGUGUUGUCUGAUCAUCAAUAAACCAGCCUAAUAUAU